ACUCUGCCAGCAGCUCUUUUUCCAUCAGAUGUUUCUAAACAAGGACAGUUAAUCCUCAAGACAAAUUCUUGUUCUGUUUUUCAAUGUUUUGUGCCAAUAAAAGCAUUAUAUUUUUCUGGAACAUAAAGUGUGCUCAGUAAAUGCUGGUUGAAGAUGUGAAUGAAUGAGAAAACCAUAUUAAAAUUUACAUCAACUGGAGGAAAGUUCUCCACUAGCAUUCUAAUUCUCAUCAAUAUCGGCCAGGUGACUGGGUGUACGUGCAUGCAGAGAUACCAACACUGGACACUUCAACCUCGCUGGAAGGGACCUUACAUCAUGAUCCUGACCACUCCCACCACUUUCAAGGUCGACAGGAUUACUCCCUGGGUCCACUACACCCACGUCUGGCCAGCUGACCCACACACUGUUCUCAAGGACUUUGUUCCAGAAUGGAAAAGCCAACCAGACAAGGACAAUCCCCUAAAGCUAAGACUGCGCCGUUCUCACUUAUUUCCCACCUCCAAGACUCCCUAG
rnacentral:lncRNA from 1 species